UCCAGACUUCGGUCUGGUGAGAGUGGCGGACGGGUGAGUAACGCGUGGGAACCUGCCCAUUGGUCUGGGAUAACUGCGGGAAACUGCAGCUAAUACCGGAUGUACCCGAGAGGGGGAAGAUUUAUCGCCGAUGGAGGGGCCCGCGUCAGAUUAGGUAGUUGGUGAGGUAACGGCUCACCAAGCCUACGAUCUGUAGCUGGUCUGAGAGGAUGAUCAGCCACACUGGGACUGAGAUACGGCCCAGACUCCUACGGGAGGCAGCAGUGGGGAAUAUUGGACAAUGGGGGCAACCCUGAUCCAGCAAUGCCGCGUGAGUGAUGAAGGCCUUAGGG
rnacentral:rRNA from 1 species